rnacentral:rRNA from 1 species
CCUACGGGGGGCAGCAGUGGGGAAUAUUGCACAAUGGGGGAAACCCUGAUGCAGCGACGCCGCGUGAGUGAAGAAGUAAUUCGUUAUGUAAAGCUCUAUCAGCAGGGAAGAAACACUGACCUUACGGUCAGCAGACGGUACCUGAGUAAGAAGCCCCGGCUAAAUACGUGCCAGCAGCCGCGGUAAUAUGCAGGGGGCAAGCGUUAUCCGGAUUUACUGGGGGUAAGGGGAGCGUAGAGGGUGAGACAAGUCUGGAGUGAAAUGCCGCGGCUUAACUGCGGAACUGUUUUGGGAACUGGCGAGCUGGAGUGCGGGAGGGGUAGGCGGAAUUCCUAGUGUAGCGGUGAAAUGCGUAGAUAUUAGGAGGAACACCGGUGGCGAAGGCGGCUUACUGGACCGUAACUGACGUUGAGGCUCGAAAGCGUGGGGAGCAAACAGGAUUAGAUACCCUUGUAGUC